rnacentral:rRNA from 1 species
UACGUAGGGCGCAAGCGUUAUCCGGAAUUAUUGGGCGUAAAGAGCUCGUAGGCGGUUUGUCGCGUCUGCCGUGAAAGUCCGGGGCUCAACUCCGGAUCUGCGGUGGGUACGGGCAGACUAGAGUGAUGUAGGGGAGACUGGAAUUCCUGGUGUAGCGGUGAAAUGCGCAGAUAUCAGGAGGAACACCGAUGGCGAAUGCAGGUCUCUGGGCAUUAACUGACGCUGAGGAGCGAAAGCAUGGGGAGCGAACAGG